UAGUACUAUCAGUGCAAAAUAUGGCGUCAAACUGGACAGUACAAAAUAAUUUUAAGUAUAAAUAUUGAAAUAUAUUAUUAUGCAUGAAACACGCAAUUCCUAAACGAUAUCAAUCAGUUCUGAGUAGUUCACCCUAUAGGAAAAGAAGAAUAUGUAUAAGAAAUCAUAAGAAUCAAUCCAGAAGAAAAGAAAAAUACAAAUUCUUGAGAUACUUAAGCAUAGCAAACACAACAGAAAGGUUCUAAAGUUCCAGCACUCCAACUGCUUUUUAAAACCUUAAGCCUAUCGCCGAUCCCAGUGCAAAUUUACAAAAGCAUUAAUUGAUGCAAAAAAGAAUUUCUGAUAGUCCAAGUCAAUAGCGAAAUCGUUGUACAACCUCACCUACUUAGUUACAGCACUGAUGUACUCAUAUUUACUUAUCCAUUAAGUAGUCCAUGUUCUAUUUAAAAAAAAUAUAUCAUUUCAAGAUAUCAAUUUUUAAGCCAAUCCAAAACCUCCACAUUUCAAGAUGUUAGUUUUAAGCAGCGCAGCCUCAUUUAUAUCGAAUUUUUCAAAUUAAAACAUAUACAAAUGCAUUAAAAAGGACUCUUGAGAACCACUAAUUAGGCAAUCACCACGGUUUUUUAAGCAUCAUUCCUAAAACCCACAUGAACUGCAACCAUGGUGAUCACAUAAACCCCAAAACCUAAAACCGUGCCACAUUAAUUAAGGAAUCAAAUAAAAAAAGGAAAGAAAAUACAUUGCCUCAUGAAUUGGAACCCCAAAUUAGAAAAGGAUAUAUAUCGGCAAUGUAUGGCGCAAAUCGUUUCCGAUCUCACACCUGCAAACAAAAAUAAUAAUAAUAAAAAGACUUAAAUUCAACUAAAAGAGAAUUAGGGAUCAAGAAACAAAGCAUAAAUUGAUACAAAGCACAAAUUCAAGAAACAAAGCAUAAAUUGAUACAAAAAUUAAUGAAGAGAUCACACAUGAUAGGGUUUUUAGGGCAAAGACUGACACGUGAGGAGGAUUAAAAACUCGCAAAUCUUCGACAUGGAGGCCGAGAUCGAGAGAGAAGAGUUGGGGGCUAGAGUUAGAGUUCGACUCACCCGACGUUGGCGUCGUUGUCAGCGUGGUGGAGGAGGCGGAGGCGGAGGCUCAGGCGGAGGAGAGGUGCUGGGCCGUCGCCUCUGUCCGCGGCGGGGAGGAGAGGUGCUGGGUCUGGGCCUUGACGCGGAUGUGGUGAUCGGAGAUGUUGAGGAUGAGGGGAGAGGGAAAAAAUGUUGUAACUGAAGGGGAAGAAGAAAUAACGUAUAGGAAGGAGAGGAAGUGCCAUUGCCGUUUGAGAAAC
rnacentral:lncRNA from 1 species